UGCCGGGUAAUACUUUUCUUCGCAUGAAGGAAAGUUGAAAGAUGGCUUCUUGCUAUCACUUACAGAUGGGCCCGCGGCGCAUUAGCUAGUUGGUGAGGUAACGGCUCACCAAGGCGACGAUGCGUAGCCGACCUGAGAGGGUGAUCGGCCACACUGGGACUGAGACACGGCCCAGACUCCUACGGGAGGCAGCAGUAGGGAAUCUUCCGCAAUGGACGAAAGUCUGACGGAGCAACGCCGCGUGAACGAUGAAGGUCUUCGGAUCGUAAAGUUCUGUUGUUAGGGAAGAACAAGUACCGUGCGAAUAGAGCGGUACCUUGACGGUACCUAACGAGGAAGCCCCGGCUAACUACGUGCCAGCAGCCGCGGUAAUACGUAGGGGGCAAGCGUUGUCCGGAAUUAUUGGGCGUAAAGCGCGCGCAGGCGGUUCCUUAAGUCUGAUGUGAAAGCCCACGGCUCAACCGUGGAGGGUCAUUGGAAACUGGGGAACUUGAGGACAGAAGAGGAGAGUGGAAUUCCACGUGUAGCGGUGAAAUGCGUAGAUAUGUGGAGGAACACCAGUGGCGAAGGCGACUCUCUGGUCUGUUUCUGACGCUGAGGUGCGAAAGCGUGGGUAGCAAACAGGAUUAGAUACCCUGGUAGUCCACGCCGUAAACGAUGAGUGCUAGGUGUUAGGGGGCUUCCACCCCUUAGUGCUGAAGUUAACGCAUUAAGCACUCCGCCUGGGGAGUACGGCCGCAAGGCUGAAACUCAAAGGAAUGGACGGGGGCCCGCACAAGCGGUGGAGCA
rnacentral:rRNA from 1 species